GGCUCAAUGGUCUAGUGGUAUGAUUCGCGCUUCGGGUUUUUAUGUGAAAACUAAAUCCAGAAUUUGAUUUAAAAACAAAUUCAACCUUGUGCGAGGUCUCGGGUUCGAUCCCCGAUUGAGCCC